rnacentral:rRNA from 1 species
CAGUAGCCGCGGUAAUACAGAGGGUGCGAGCGUUAAUCGGAUUUACUGGGCGUAAAGCGUGCGUAGGCGGCUAAUUGAGUCGGAUGUGAAAUCCCCGAGCUUAACUUGGGAAUUGCAUUUGAUACUGGUUAGCUAGAGUGUGGGAGAGGAUGGUAGAAUUCCAGGUGUAGCGGUGAAAUGCGUAGAGAUCUGGAGGAAUACCGAUGGCGAAGGCAGCCAUCUGGCCUAAUACUGACGCUGAGGUACGAAAGCAUGGGGAGCAAACAGGAUUAGAUACCCGUGUAGUCCCUGUCUCUUAUAC